rnacentral:lncRNA from 1 species
UCGACGAUCGGCCUAAAUCAUUCUUGCAAAUGCAAAUCUUGCUGUUUUCAGUAUUUUUAUAAAAAGAAACAUUAAUUAACCAUAUUGAAUCUUCUUUAUUCUUAACAGAUGAUAUGACUAGUGUUUAAAAGAGGAUAUGAGUUGUUCUUUUCUAGACAGCUGUGUUUUGGUUUCCUAGUAAUUGCUCAGCUUCUCACUUUCUAGCUUACAUAGCAGUCAGAAGCCCAGCAGUCUAAAUAAUAUGUGCCAGUGUCCAGAGGAUAGAGUAGUAGGAGGGGCACGGACUGCUAAUGAAAGUCUAGCUCACAGAGAAACCUGGUAGACAUCAAUGUGUCUACUGUUGAGGGGCCUUCCACCUUGGUUCAAGUCAUUGUGGAAACCACAAAUUUCCUUGGAGGAUUUACACCCAUCAAGAUCUAAGUCUGGCUCCAGGUGUGGGGACAAAUUUGAUUGAAGCCCAUUGACAGAUGCUAACAAUAUCAGUACCAGUUAAAGCCAACACUCGGAACAGCAGUGACAAUAAAAGCGCUCAACCGACUGCGAGCACCCUGCCAGAGAUAUCUAGUUCAAGUAAUAACACAACAGAAAGCCAGCAACAGAGAUAAAAUGGUCCAAUCCAAUUUGGCAAGCUAAUUUUUCUAAAGCCCAGAAAUUUAUUUUUGCAAGGUUAACUUUUUGGCUUGCUGUCAAGUUGUAGUAAAUCUCCAAGAUAUUGAUUGAUGCCUUCCCCAGAUCCAAUACUUUGCUGCUAUCUAUUUUUCAGACAACACGAGAAAGCUGCCACUGCUCCUGCCAACGACGCCAGCAAUUCAUCCAUCAAAAAGGAAUCAACAAACUCGGAGAGUGAUGACGUUGCAAGACCAGGAGCUACCAAGGAGUCGAGCUGGCAGCUGAGGUAGCCACGGAGAAAAAGACAUGUCGAAGGGGUGAAGGUGUUGAUUCAUCUUCCUCGUCGAUCUACUGCCAUGUUCACCGUAAUCCGAUUACCUCGAAAGAUAAUCCUCCGCCAGGAUUUUGCCAGUGGCUUCACACGUUCCAGUGGUCGAACGCUGAGCGUUUAUGUGCUGCCAUUGACCAACUGAUAGAGCUGUGUGAACCCACUCAAGUCCGUCACAUGAUGGCUGUUAGCAAGGAUGUUAGUGAACCACAGUUCCAACGCGAUUUCAUAUCGCUGCUGCCCAAAGAACUGGCUCUGCAUUUUCUCAGA